CCUACGGGGUGCUGCAGUGGGGAAUAUUGCACAAUGGGCGCAAGCCUGAUGCAGCCAUGCCGCGUGUGUGAAGAAGGCCUUCGGGUUGUAAAGCACUUUCAGCGGGGAGGAAGGCGUUAAGGUUAAUAACCUUGUCGAUUGACGUUACCCCCAGAAGAAGCACCGGCUAACUCCGUGCCAGCAGCCGCGGUAAUACGGAGGGUGCAAGCGUUAAUCGGAAUUACUGGGCGUAAAGCGCACGCAGGCGGUCUGUCAAGUCGGAUGUGAAAUCCCCGGGCUCAACCUGGGAACUGCAUUCGAAACUGGCAGGCUAGAGUCUUGUAGAGGGGGGUAGAAUUCCAGGUGUAGCGGUGAAAUGCGUAGAGAUCUGGAGGAAUACCGGUGGCGAAGGCGGCCCCCUGGACAAAGACUGACGCUCAGGUGCGAAAGCGUGGGGAGCAAACAGGAUUAGAUACCCGGUAGUC
rnacentral:rRNA from 1 species